UUGGAGAUGAGGAGCUCAUUAAGUGUGGCAAGCUCAAUCUUGUUGAUUUAGCAGGAUCAGAAAAUAUUUCUCGAUCAGGUGCACGAGAGGCUCGUGCAAGAGAAGCGGGGGAAAUCAAUAAGAGUUUGCUUACUCUUGGUCGUGUUAUAACAGCUUUGGUUGAACACUCUAUUCACAUAGCUUAGGUUCAAGUGCAAUCAUGCCCCGUGCUACUGCUCAACGCCCCGUGAGGCCGUGCUACUGCUCAAGACUGUUUGUUGAGGGAUGCCCUCUCUGUUUUUUGUUGCACUAUGUUUAACUGUUUAAGUGUUAAGACUGUGCAGACUUGCAGUUGGCCAGUUGCAGUGUUGCACUGUGUUUAAGUGUUAAUACUUAAGGGUUAAGACUGUUUUUGUUGGACUGUGUUUAACUUGUUUAACUGUGUUUAAGUUGUUGGACU